UACGGAGGAGGCAAGCGUUAUCCGGAAUCAUUGGGCGUAAAGGGCGCGUAGGUGGCCUGCUAAGCGUGCGGUGAAAGUCGGGGGCUCAACCCCCGAUCGGCCGUGCGAACUGGGAGGCUUGAGCACUGUAGAGGCAGGCGGAAUUCCGGGUGUAGCGGUGGAAUGCGUAGAGAUCCGGAAGAACACCGGUGGCGAAGGCGGGUCUCUGGGCAACAACUGACGCUGAGGAGCGAAAGCGUGGGGAGCGAACAGG
rnacentral:rRNA from 1 species